rnacentral:rRNA from 1 species
GACAGAGGGUGCAAACGUUGUUCGGAAUUACUGGGCGUAAAGCGAGUGUAGGCGGUUCGGUAAGUCGGAUGUGAAAGCCCCGGGCUCAACCCGGGAAGUGCACUCGAUACUGCCGAGCUAGAGUAUCGGAGAGGUUGGUGGAAUUCUCGGUGUAGAGGUGAAAUUCGUAGAUAUCGAGAGGAACACCGGUGGCGAAGGCGGCCAACUGGACGAAUACUGACGCUGAGGCGCGAAAGCUAGGGGAGCAAACGGG